rnacentral:rRNA from 1 species
CAACAUGAGAGUUUGAUCCUGGCUCAGAACGAACGCUGGCGGCAUGCUUAACACAUGCAAGUCGAACGAUUUAUACAUUUUCGGAUGUAUAGGUAGUGGCAGACGGGUGAGUAACGCGUGGAAACUUGCCUAUAGGCGAAGGAUAAC